CUGUGUGUCCUCCAAAAAUGUAUUUAAAUCUUUAACCCGAUUCAUUUUGGACUCAAUUUCGCCAUCACUGUUAAUUCAAUUUCAGUGUUUUGGCAUUGACAUUAGCCAAAUCUCUUGAUUUCGUGCGAGACUCGCUUUUAUUUCCCAAUCCCGUUGCAAGGUUUACUAGUUUACAAAACAACUCGUUUCUCCCUCCCCCUGUCUUUCAGCGCCAUCUUUAUUCCUCCCUUACUCGUCCAUUUUUUUUUUCUUUUAUUUCUUACAAUAUAAAUAUGUGAUUUCAGGCUCCAAGGCCACUUCUUUAUGCCAAAAAGUUCACGUGCGUCCAUUAAAAAUUCCCAACGAUAAUUUACAACAUUUUUUUUUUAUGCCCGCCGAAAGUCGCCUCGGUGGAGGAGUGAUUUUUUUUUUCGAUUCGGAACAUUCGCUGGAUGAGUUGAAAAAAAUAUUUCACCUCGAAUUAUACCGGAUUCUGUCAUAAAAUUUCUUAAAAAAAAAAAAAGGAACAAAACAACACGAGAAACUUGGUUAUAACUGGCUGUUUUUCUCGCAACCGUACCUGUGGAAUUUGGCAUUUAUUCUAGACGGUCAUAAUUCUUCUUUUCGUUUUAAUUGACUCAUUUCGCCGUUUGACCAUGUGGCUUUUCAGACCAAUGUUCAUGUCCGGUAUGACUGGCAAUUUAAAAAAAUCAGCCCAGCAACCUGAUCACAGUCAUGGAAAUCUUCAUCUAAACAAUCCAGAGUCGCAGAUGUUAUUGUACCCUUUGGCAAACGUCUGCAGUUAGGAUUGUAUAACUUCAUGAUAUGCUUAGUACUAAAAUGCCUAAAAUCUUGAUCGCUGGCAGUGGAAUUACAGGAAGCUUAGUGGCAGCUUCGCUACUCCAGCAAGCAAAAGAAAAUGUUUCUAAUCAAUUACAACUAUCUAUCUGGGAAAAAGCUAAAGGCACCGGUGGUCGUAUGUCUACCAGUCGAAGUCCUCACAACAGCUCAUGUGUCGCUGAUCUCGGAGCUCAGUACAUAACAUGCAAACCUCAUUAUGCCAAAGAACACAGCAAAGAAUACGAAGAGCUGUUGUCUAAAGGAGUUUUAGAGCCUUUAAAGAUUAACAUAAGUAAUUGUCAUGAGCAUGAAGCAGGAACGAAGCAUUAUGUAGCGCCAAAUGGAAUGAGUGCAAUUGCCAAAUACUUUAUUAGUCAGUCUGGAUGUCAACCAGAAUUUGAACACCACAUUUCUACAAUUACUAAACAGGAUAAUAAAUGGUCUGUGUCCACUCUUCAAGGAAAAGUGGAACUAUUUGAUGCAGUUGUAUUAACAAUCCCUGUUCCUCAAGUUCUGCAAUUAAAGGGCACAGUAGCAGAAAUUCUUGAAAACAAUAAAGAAAUGAAAACAAAACUUUCAGCUGUAGAAUACAGUUCCCGUUACGCAGUUGGGUUGUAUUAUGACCAAGGUGCCGAGCUGAGCUUACCGUUUAAGGCAUCCUACUUGAAGGAUGAUCCCGUAUUUCGUUAUAUCGCAGUCGACAAUCUAAGACGAAAUCGCCCUGAGCUACCACCUUCGGUGGUUUUCCACACGUCGGUCCCGUUUGGUUUGGAACAUGUCGAGCUGAAUAUUGCUGAAGCCGAACCUAUUUUAAAAGAGGCUAUACAACGAUCGUUUCCAGGUUUACCUGAACCGAAAGCAUUUAAAUGCCAAAAGUGGAGAUACUCUCAGGUAACGAAAUCGUACGAAGAUCAGCCAGGUGCAUUGGAGCUCUCCCGAGAGCCGCCUUUACUAGUCGGAGGGGAUGGAUUUACCCAUUCGAACUUAGAUGGUUGUAUCUCGUCAGCCAGAAAGGUUUGUCUUGUCUUGUUAAUCGCUCCAAGACGGGUUGGAUCUUGAGAAGGAUAGUGAAUGCCUGAUUGACCCUCGGCGAGAAACCCUGGAAGUUCGGGCUGAUUCGGCGUUGGGUUAGGCGGUGGAGGAGCCAUCAAUGGAUAGGUGGGUGGCGCAAAUUGUGGAUAAGGACUUGGGAACGCACUAGUUGUGGGGGCUAAAUUGAAAAAAUUGUGCUCCAAUUCUUCUGGGUGAGGCAAAGCCCGUGGAAGGCCGGGCACAGGUUCGAAACGAGCCCCAGCUUCUGUGUUUGUUGUUCCAGGUAUAUUCUGUUUACCUUGAGAUUUACCCCAGCGUAUGACAAGACGGCGAUUCUAAUGAUAAAUCACUAUUAAUUACGAAUACCAAAGAGAAAAAAAAAAUUUGUACCUGUAUAAUUAAUUUAUUGAAGGUCCCUUCGGCAGCUAGCUCUGCAGCUGAACGCGUGACAUACGUAACGAAAGCACAUUGCUGCCGCGAAACAAUGGUGAUGGAUCGAAUCUCCCCAUAUUGAUAGAAAUGAUCUCGUAGUUCUUUUUCCAACAUCUUCUCUCCAAUAUUACCCACGUAUAAUGUGGUUAUGGAUUUGUCUUCAGGAGCAUCCAAGCGUGGAAGAGUGGCCGCACGUCGCAUCAGCUUUUCUGCCACAGGAUCAUUGGUGCCAUAAUAACGGUCUUUGAUGUUCUGAUCAGCCAAUGGAUCAUCUGGGUCGGUAGGUUUCUCGUGGCGGUAAGGGCAUUCUUCUCCACGUUUGCACUCACCCUUCACCCAGAAAGAACAAAUGUGAGGUAAAUUCCUUCUGUAAUAAGGUGCUGUGCGGGCAAGUUUCAUCAGGAGAUCUGAAGGAGGAUGACUUUUUCCUGGACCACCAGCAGCACCAGGGACACCAUGAUCAGUUGCAGACAACUGUUAAAAAGAAUAUUACCAAUAGCUCAAGUAACCGACUAAAAUCAAGACUUAGUUUACCUGUUUCUCAGCAUUUUGGAUGAAGUAUUCUUUGUUCACGUCAGAUUUUGCAAUAUUGUCUUUUAUGUUAAGGGCCUGGUCUCUCACUUGAAUAGGAAGACCAUACUCAAGAUCUAACAAACAUGUUUGACAAACAUUUUUUAGUUUAGCACAAGUCUGGCAAAUUUCUGUUUUUUUGAAACGCAUUCGUGCACCAGGGCACCAUCUGAAGGUUGUGAAAGGUCUAACGCAAAUUUUACAUUCACUGCCAAAUUUUUCCUUCAUCUAGAGGCGGUAAACAAAACUGUCGUUAGUCAGCAUAAAGCAAUAAUCACAAUGCUAAGCUUGGUUACCAUCCGAACGUAAGGAUUGUCACCCAGACAUGUGGGGCAGAGAAUAGGAAACUCCUAAAAAACAUUUUUAAAAGACUUUUUUUUAAAUGACAAAUUCAGUAAAAAGAGUUAAAUCAAAAAGUUUUAUUUACCGAAUCUUCCCAACUUGUUCGUCCAUAGGUGUUGGAUGAUUUCGACAGCGCCAUUUUAAAAGCUCAUAAAACUCGUUUGGUAACAGUACAAGUGGAAUCUUAGUUGGUAAACAUGGUUUUCCGUAGAUGGCGGUUUUAUAAAGCGUUUUUGUUAUUGCUAGAUGGCAGCACGUUGAAGAUCAUUAAGUUGAAGGCCGCGCGCUUUAUUCUCUAUGUAUGUUUCGCCAGUAACCUUUUCCUCCAUUAAUCUUUUAUACGUUUAAUCACCUUCUAAGUUAGAACGCGGACAAUGGCAUCGUCUUGUAUAGAAGGUAACGCUACAGUCCUAAGUCGUGUUCCCGUAAUUUUGGUGUGUUCCGAUUUAGACGGCCGACCCGAUUUUCGGGUAUGAUUUUUUUUACGACAGAUGGCGUUGGACGAAAAAUCACGAAAACUAGGCUAAAUCAGGCCGCGAACUUACGUUUGAAGGCCGGCUUAGCAACGGACUUCAUGUGAAAGGCCGUGCAUAGGAGUGGAGUCAUAGAACCCUGGUUGGUUCACGCUGAGAGGAAUCCCUAUACCGCGUUUCGUUGGUCUGUAUGUCUAAAAUUUCGACGGUUUUGGGGCGGGGCACAGUGGUGGAAACUAGAAUCAGAGUCAUCUAUCGAGAGAAGCUGAGUUAUUCAACGGCCAUUGUCAGUGUUUAUUUUCGAGCUUCAAUUUUUAUGGUGUCGUCUGCUCCGUUCGUUUUCUUUGUCAUGUUGUGAUUGGCUGUUAAAGUUUUCCAACACGUUUCCUGAUUGGUGUACAUCAUACACCCGCUGGGAGGCUCUGACUGCUAUUUCCGAAAUUAGACACGACAGACGAUUUUCCACAUGUCGUGAACCAACCAGGGUUCUAUGACUCUGAUAUGAGUAUUACGUUAGGUCGUUGUAUUUUGUGUUAGUGUAUCGUUAAUCCCGUUGCUUCGCCGCGUGUGGAACUUAUUUAUCGCUUUGGUGUUAAGUGGGGAGCUGAUAAAUAUUCAGUGCGUUCCGUUUUAAACAUUCUUUUUGUACUCGUUAAUACCCUGAAAUUCGCCAUUUUUUCGUACCAACCUGAGGGACACUCUUUUUCUUGACACACGAUUGUUUGAAGAUUGAUUUUCACUAGACGUCAUUUGAAUGGUGCUGUUUCUAUCCGCAAACCCUGCAGUGUGCAAAAAUAAGCAGUGGAAAAACCUGCUCAUCAUGCUUAUCUGCACAAUACUGGCUUCAUGUAAGCAAUCUUGAAAUGACCUAUCAACAGUAAAUAUGGACUACAUAGUAUUAAAAAAUUCUUCCCCUAAGGAGAUUUGUAACUGUGGACUUUCUUUGGUUGACUUUUGUAUUGUAAAUAUUUUCCUCCUUGGAACAGGGAACAUAGGAUGUGUUGAUGUCAACCAAGUGUCAUUGGAAAUAUUGGGAAAAGAAGUGUUUAGCAUAUCUGACAAAUGUGUAAUUAUGUUAUUAAAGUGACUCUUUUUGGUAUUCUUGUAGUAUUCAUAAUCUCCAGAAUGGAUGGGUGAUAGAUGAUUUGAAAAGUUGCUAAAUGUUAUUGUUAAACUUAACUUUUGAAAACAUGGAGUGUAUUCAUA